rnacentral:rRNA from 1 species
UACGAAGGGGGCUAGCGUUGUUCGGAAUCACUGGGCGUAAAGCGCACGUAGGCGGACUUUCAAGUCAGGGGUGAAAUCCCGGGGCUCAACCUCGGAAUUGCCUCUGAUACUGUUGGUCUCGAGUCCGGAAGAGGUGGGUGGAAUUCCUAGUGUAGAGGUGAAAUUCGUAGAUAUUAGGAAGAACACCGGUGGCGAAGGCGGCCCACUGGUCCGGUACUGACGCUGAGGUGCGAAAGCGUGGGGAGCAAACAGG